AUUGAACGCUGGCGGCAGGCCUAACACAUGCAAGUCGAGCGGGGUUUUCGGACCUAGCGGCGGACGGGUGAGUAAUGCGUAGGAAGCUGCCCGAUAGAGGGGGAUACCAGUUGGAAACGACUGUUAAUACCGCAUAAUGUCUACGGACCAAAGUGUGGGACCUUCGGGCCACAUGCUAUCGGAUGCGCCUACGUGGGAUUAGCUAGUUGGUGAGGUAAUGGCUCACCAAGGCGACGAUCUCUAGCUGGUUUGAGAGGAUGAUCAGCCACACUGGAACUGAGACACGGUCCAGACUCCUACGGGAGGCAGCAGUGGGGAAUAUUGGACAAUGGGCGCGAGCCUGAUCCAGCCAUGCCGCGUGUGUGAAGAAGGCCUUCGGGUUGUAAAGCACUUUCAGCGAGGAGGAAGGGGUGUGUGUUAAUAGUACACACCUUUGACGUUACUCGCAGAAGAAGCACCGGCUAACUCUGUGCCAGCCGCCGCGGUAAAAC
rnacentral:rRNA from 1 species